rnacentral:misc_RNA from 1 species
UGUGGGAGCGAGCCUGCUCGCGAUGAGGCAGUGUCAGUCGACAUCCGUAUCAACUGACAGAUCGCUAUCGCGAGCAGGCUCGCUCCCACA